rnacentral:lncRNA from 1 species
AGAGAGAGUAUGCAGUCCCCCACAAAGGCUACAGGCAGUUUUGGCUUGUUUUUGGUAUUUGUAGAUUUAUGUCAUGUAUGUUAGCAGAAGUUGUAAUAUAUGGUCCUUACACUUUUUAUAGUUCCAUGUGCUUGAGCUGCUACUAAAUUUAUUACUAGAUUUUUAACUGAGUUGGUGGGGGAUUGUAGAGGCAUUGUAAUUCGGUUAUUUAUAUAGUUUUAUUCGUUGUCUUAUCUUUUCUGAUUUCAUAUUAUUACUUUGUGAUUUCUUUUUUUGUAGCUGAGAUAGAGGAAUCCUUCCAAUAAUCAUAUGGGAAUACUGUCUUAAAUUUGAAAAUGUUUUGAAAUGCAUUUUUAAAGUAGAUGUGGUUGAUAGAGCAAUCUUUAACCAUAAUUUCCAAGUACUGUGCUGAAUGCGAACCUUGUGAUGGGCUCCACUUGAGUAGAUCUUCAAUGAGAUCCGGUCAAGUCUAGAUUGGAUGAUGUAGGUUUCAUAUGGGUGAUCGGAGCUGUUAAAUGUGAUCUGCUAUCUCUGAACAGCAUAUAUAUCAAAAAAUCAUAUAAUUUGGAGACUGCUAGCCUAUGCAUCAAGUGAUCGAAAUAUACAUACAUACAUAUACAUAUAUA